UACAUGUGGGGCAAGCGUUGUUCGGAAUUACUGGGCAUAAAGGGUGCGUAGGUGGCUUGUUAAGUCAGGGGUGAAAGUUUUCGGCCCAACCGGAAAAUGGCCUUUGAUACUGGCGAGCUCGAGUGCGUGAGGGGUAACCGGAGCGAGCAGUGUAGCGGUGAAAUGCGUAGAUAUUGCUCGGAAGGCCAACGGCGAAGGCAGGUUACUGGUGCGCAACUGACACUGAGGCACGAAAGCGUGGGGAGCAAACAGG
rnacentral:rRNA from 1 species